UUCCCUGAGCCUUAGUGCCUGAUCUCACGCUAACUGAGGCUUCCCCUCAUCCUCAGAGCCAUCUCUAGAUGGAGCCAGGGCUGCGGAUGGCAUCUCCCAGGUUGGGAAAGAUCCUGCCAUGGAGCUCUCGUAUUUCUGGAGUUCCACAAGAAGACCAAGCUACACAACUGUCACAUAUAUGCAGGGGUCAGUCCCAUGCAGGCUCCCUGGUUGGUGGUUCACUCUCUGUGAGUCCCUAUGAUCCAGGUUAGUUGUUUCUGUGUGUUUUCGUGUGUCAUGUCCUUGACCCCUCUGGUUCCUACAAUCUUUCCUCCUCGUCUUCUGCAGGAUUCCCCUUUAGAAUAUAUUAACAGCUUCUGCCAACCCCACACCUAAGGAUGGCAUCAGGACAACAUCUGCAGCCGAGAGCAGAGACUCCCCUGCUUUUCUGUUACCUACC
rnacentral:lncRNA from 1 species